ensembl:lincRNA Gm16892 predicted gene, 16892
GGUCGAGGGGCGGAGCCUCGAUGAGCUUUGAGGAUUUUACUGUUUUGUUUUGUGCUGUGCUGUAAUGUAGACAGAUUUUAUAAAAAUCAUCCCAUGGUCGGAAGCUGUUCCGGCUCUCUCAGCACAGUGACUAGUCUGAGCAAGCUGCGAAACAAAGCAGACGGCGUCCGUCUUUCAGAGAAUUAUCAUUAACGACUCUGGUGUGAAAUUUGCUACAGCGUAACUGAAAUCAUGCACCAGUGUAGAAGCCACAGAUACCAGGAAGAUGCUCACAGAUGACACUGUUCCAGGAGCGGAGCACCUCAGUGCUCUCCGCCAACACCCACUCACCAAAAGCCAGAAGGAGCCUGCACUUAAUGGGCUCUAUUAAUUCAGGGAAAGUGAUGCUUGAUGUCCGGCUUGUUGAUCCAGGUCUGGAUGUUGACAACCUCUUUCCUAUCAUCAUCUGACAUGGACGAGCUGUCGAUUUCAUCUGGGAGGGAAGAGAAGGGUUAAGGCCAUCAGCACCUUCUUAGCAUGUGACACUUCUUAGCAUGUGACACUUCUUAGCAUGUGGACACUUCUUAGCAUGUGAACACUUCUUAGCAUGUGAACACUUCUUAGCAUGUGGACACUUCUUAGCAUGUGAACACUUCUUACCAUGUGAACACUUCUUAGCAUGUGGACACUUCUUAGCAUGUGAACACUUCUUAGCAUGUGGACACUUCUUAGCAUGUGAACACUUCUUAGCAUGUGGACACUUCUUAGCAUGUGGACACUUCUUAGCAUGUGGACACUUCUUAGCAUAUGGACACUUCUUAGCAUGUGACACUUCUUAGCAUGUGGACACGUCUUAGCAUGUGGACACUUCUUAGCAUGUGGACACACUGCUUAGCAACCACAAACUAUUGGUUGUGUUCUUAAAGUAGGGCAUGACAGUGAGAAACAAAAGGAAGCACUUCAAAUCCUGCUGGUUCUGUUACAGAGACACGGGAAACAACCCUUACAGUAAGCAAGUCCACUCAAACUCCUGGGAGUACAUGUUGCACUUUUGAGAAAAGAUGUCACAACUGUGGCCUGGCAUGUCAGUGAGAAGCACCUUUCUCGAGGCAGGGAAGGCAGUGUUCCCCUUUGCCAGUUUCUGACUUAAUAAACAGCACAGGGGAAACUUCCUGAAGGGAACACCAAUAGCUUAUGCUCUAAGAACAACAAUCGACAAAUGGGACUCAGAAAACUGCAAAGCAGCUGUAAGGCAAAGGGCACUGUCAAUAGGACAAAAUGGCAACUAACAGAUCGGGAAAAGAUCUUUACCAAUCCUACAUCCGAUAGAGGGCUAAUAUCCAAUAUAUACAAAGAACUCAAGAAGUUAGACUCCAGAGAAUCAAAUAACCCUAUUAAAAGAAAUGGGACACAGAGCUAAACAAAGAAUUCUCAACCGAGGAAAGUCUAAUGGCCAAGAAGCACCUAAAGAAAUGUUCAACAUCCUUUGAUGUUUUGGUAAAUCUCCAACCCAAAUAUGCCCCAGCAAUGAAAACACAACUCAAUUAAU